AUGGCGUCGGCAGCUGGAGCUGCGGCUUUGCGGCGACCUUUAGCCAGGUUAGGGAGGUAGGAAGGCAGCUUUGUCCCUGAAGCCCCAUUGAGGAUUAGAAUCGGAUUUCUCAGAAUCAUGGAGGCAGUUAUCAACGGCCUUUAGUACCUCAUACGGCAGCUCGAAGAGAGAUAAUCCACGCUACGAGAACUGACGCAGGGGACAUCGCUGUUUCCCGUACCCGAUCUGGAGUUACAGAGUCGCAAGUAGAGAAGGGGAACCCAAGCGUUCUCGACUUCGGGUUCCUCCACGUGUGAAGUGAGAAUGAUACUGAUAUCUCGUGGUAUAUCUGUCAAAGGCAAGAAGGAAAAGGGAUUUAUUUGAGGUCCUACGACGUGGUAGGUUCACCCUCAGACUUUGUUCUUAAUCACACGACAAUUUUGUGGAGAAGGUCUUGUCGCCUCGAUUUUACCUGAGAAAAGGGGUCCAAUUUAUAGUUACUUGCGGCCACAAAAUCGAAGCCAGUGCCUGGUACUGUUGAAGAUCCAAUCAAGUUUUGUGGUUGCCUUCCCUCUUUAAGUUUUGUGCUUUUGACAACAUCGGAUCCGGUAGAAAUGCUCGAGUCAAAAGGAGUUUUUAAUGUGCGUUCUCCUAUUAACAUAGUUUCUUUCUUGAAAAAUGGGGUUAAUACUACCCUAUGGGGAUGUUGUGAUACACAAUGUAGGGCGUCCUGUUUUGAGGCCAAUUGCUUAAGAACUCUUGGAAAGAUGGUAAAUGAAAUGUUAAUAGAAGAUUUUGUAAUUUUAUAUACCUUCUUUGAUUUGAGCUUCGCAAUAUCUCAGUGAGGCACAUGGAAUACAAAGAUACUGGGCCUCUGCCCUCAAGCAGCUCAGUACCUAGUAGAAGGAACAGUUAUCUCAAUGCAGUCAGAUAGUUACCUAAAGUGUGGCAUGAAACAGGUGCCUUGGGAACCUAGAGGAAGAAGCCUCUGACUGGCUGGUGUGUGAGGAGGGAAGGCUUCUUUUUAGGGAGAAAUUUGGGCAAAGUCUCUUGGAUGAAUAGCAGAGUGCUACAGCAACUUCUCAAAGCUUGGUUUCCAUUCCUCCACUUUUUCUUUUACACUUUUAUCUUCAUUUUCACAGCUUCAAAUAUUAUGUCUAAUAUCUCAAAAUGGAAUGGCAUUUUCUCCUAAAGCUGAAGAUUCACAUGUUCAACUUCAGGAGAAAGAAUGACCCAACAAUUUCAUUCGUAUCUAAAUAUCUUAGAGAAAUUCAUAUAUUUCAAUAGGAGACAUGAACAAGAAUAUUGACAACAAACUGUUUACAUGAUCAGAAACAACCCAAAUGAUCAUCAGCGGAAGAAUGGGUGAAAAAAUUGUGAUAUAUUCACACAAUGGAAAAACAACAGUUAAAAUGAAUGAAGUACAGCAACAUGCAACAAUAUGGAUGACUCUUAGCAAUAUAAAUGAAAACAAUUCUAAAAUAUUACAUACAACAUAAUAUACUUUUUUAUGGUAUAGAAUAGUUAAAUUACCAUACAGUAAAAUUUUAAUUAAAAUACAGUACAGAAACCUGUUUCUGGAGUACAGUUCCAUAAAUUUUAACACAUACAUAGAUUUUGUAACCACCAUCACAAUCAAGAUAUAGAACAAUUAAAGAGUGUGGGUAAAGUCAGUUAUUCCCAGAGCAUAUGGAGUGGGCGUGAGGGUGGGCUUGGUUUCAGAGGAUGAUAAAAGGAGCAAAAUCACAGAUGCUCACUAAAAUAAACCAUGGUAAUGUGUAAUAAUAGUGAUUAAAAUGUCCAUACCCUUCGAUGGGAUUUAGAACACCCUACCAAUAUAUGGCACCUUGGCAUAUUGAAUAUUUUAAGCUGAAGGAAUUAGAGAAUAUGGCAGAUGCAAGAAGAUCUCCCUGACCUACCCUUGCCCUUCUCCCCUAAAACAGGUCAUAAGACCCUCUUGUGAGAGGUAUCCCUAUACCCAGAGGAAAGAAACAUCCUUAUCUCCAAGAUGGAGGGACACCAAGAGCAAUCUGAACAAACAGGCCUUGUUAAGUUUCCCCCAGUUUAUUACACUUAGCUCAUAUCCCCUUUGUCCUAUCGUAUUUUUCCAUGCUUUUCUACCCUUCAUCAAACCUAGCAUAAAAAUGCUGAGGUUUAACCAUUUCUUUGGGCCUUCAUUUUCUUAUGAAGGCUCCUAUGUCAUGUAAAACUUAAAUUAAAUAAAUGUGAAUGCUUUUGUUAAUCUGUCUUUUGUUACCAGCCAAGAACUUAGAAGGGUAGAAGGAAAAGAUAUAUUUCCUCCCCUAUACUUUUGAUCUAGGAUUCCCAUGUGUGGGAAUAAUCCAAAAUAUGAGUGAAGUUAUGUUUACAGAGAUUUAAAUUUCAGUGCCAUCAAAAACUUGAAGACAACAUAAUUAUCUCACAAUAGAAAAUAUUAACAUAUCCCACACACCUACUCAAUAUGUAGUCAUUUAAAAUGACAAUUACAAAUAACAUCAAGGAAAAUGCUUAGUAAGUGGAAAAAGUAUAUACAUGUGAAUAUCAAAAAUAAUGGAAGAAAAUAUGUACAAACAUUAACACAUUAGGGUGGUACAGCUAUGGUUGAUUCUUUUUUCUCUGUUUUCCAAGUUUCCUUUUAAGUACUUAUGGUAUUAUUAUUUAAUAAUGUAUUUUUUAAAACUUACCAUAUUAGAAUUCUUCAUUCUCCUAAGUAUGGAGUAGGCCAAAAUUAAGAAACUGCUAUAUUAGUUGACUAAUGAUUUGGGCUAAGGUCAUAGAACCUCAGAGCUAGAAGAAACCUCAGAGAUAAACCAGUUUAAUCCCCUCAUUUUACAGAAGAAGAGUCAAACCCAGAGAGGUAAAAUAACUUAUACAAAGUCAUACAGGAACCAGGGGGCAGGUCUUCUGAUUCUCAGGCUAACAUACCUUACACUGAACCAAUCAAUUAAGAUUUGGAAUUUUGUGGGAUUGUCUGCUUUAAUGAAAACACAUCCUCAAGUUCAAGUUGACAUCCAUUCUUCCAUUACUAAUUCAGAUUAAACCAGCUGCUAUCACUUUUGUUGGAGAAGUGAUGUUUUCAAAAAGUAUUAAAAAUAUAGUGGCAUUUAGGUUCUUCCCCUUCACAUUCUUGCACAUCUUUUCUUUACAAGCAAUUUAUUGAAUAAAUGCAGAGGAAGCUCAGAUCUGGCUAAAUUAAGCAGACCAAUGUAAAGUCUCUUUACUUCUUUGGGUAUCAGCUUCCUCAUUCAUUCAGUGAAUGACUGCCAGGCCCCAUGCCAGGCCCUGCCUGGAGAUAUAAAAAUGAAUAAGGUACAACCUUUAUCCUCUUGGAGUUCACAGUUGAGAGGGGAAGACAGACAUGCAGAUAGUUCUAUAAACCAUAAGAGAAGGUGAUAACACAAGACAUUUAUAAAGGUACUUAAAAAAUGCUAUGGAGAGAAGAAGAAAAGAAGGAUUCUUUCCAUCACAGAAGGCUUCAUAGCAGAAGUAGCAUCUGGGAUGGGCCUCAGAAGGUCAACAGAAUUUUACUGGGCAGAGAUGUGAAGAGAGAAUAUCAACAAUAUCAAGGCAGAGGAAAAAGGAGAAGCAAAGGCAUGGAGAAAUAAAAGGACAUAUGGAAUGUCCACCUCAAAAAGCAAAAUGAGGGAUGUUAGACUCUUAAUGGUCCUCUAUCAGGAGUGCUUGCCAGAAUAACUUGGGGAACUCUAUUAAGUUUCAGAAGAUUGUGGUGUUUACCUUUGGAUAAAAGCCUUAGACCCUGUAUGGCUACUGAGGUCUUGUCUAUGCCCUAAAAGUUUCUGGGUUUGUGAUUACCACAGUAUCUCACGAGAGAGCACCAGAUUUAACACAAGUUACUGCCAUUUAAUCCAUUUUGGAACUGAAGUGGCAAAAAAAUGUGCUCUGGACAGUGAUUUGACACUGAUGAAUGGCUUGAUCAUUCAAAAG